UACGAAGGGGGCUAGCGUUGUUCGGAAUUACUGGGCGUAAAGCGCGCGUAGGCGGUGAUCUUUGUCAGAGGUGAAAUCCCGAGGCUCAACUUCGGAAUUGCCUUUGAAACGGGAUCGCUUGAGUCCGAGAGAGGAUGGCGGAAUUCCUAGUGUAGAGGUGAAAUUCGUAGAUAUUAGGAAGAACACCGGUGGCGAAGGCGGCACUCUGGGACGGUACUGACGCUGAGACGCGAAAGCGUGGGGAGCGAACAGG
rnacentral:rRNA from 1 species